AUUAGAUUUUGACAACCAGUUGUCUUUUUUUUCUGAUUAUGAUUAUUUCAAAUAUUUGGUAGAACCAAAUACUGAAAUAUGCACCGAUCAUAUGGGAUGGGGAGGUAUAACGCAAAAGAGAUUCCUUAAAGGGAUAACUUAUUUCACCCAAAAUGAGAUUUGUGGUCAUUUAACGUUAACUUACCCACUCUGAUGUUGUUUCAAACCUCUAUGACCUUCUGUCGUGCAAUAAAAAAAAUAUAUUUGAACAGCCUCGGUUAACACUGCAUGAUGCAUAUGGUCCACAGAAAGUAAACCGAGGUGAAUAAUGCUAGAUUUUUGUGAACUAUACUUUUAACGCUCAAUACUAUAAUAAAAGCGAUCUAUGGUAUAAUAAACAGCAUCUAACGUUACGUUACGUGUUUAAGUAAACCACGCGGGAUGCCGCUCUUCUGGAUAAGUUUAUUGCAACUAAUGUUAAGUUAAAUGGGUUGCAUGUUACUGGUGUAAGGCCUGUUUUGUUGAAAAAAGCCAUCUCUGAAAGAAAUAAUGCGAUAAGUUAGAUAACGUGAUUAAACAUUUUUCCUUUUCAUAGUGACGGUUAUCCCCUGAGGUUUGUUUUCACGUAGACCCUGAAAACAGCACCUUUUCCCGCUGCAGAUUCAGAUUGAUGUAGGUCACGAGGUUGUUGAUUUAAAAUAAUAUGUGUUAUAAUUUAUAAAUAUACACAAAUGUACUGUAUCCCUUUAGUCAUAUGAAGAGUUACACUUUACAACCAAAAACACGAACGCAAUUUAGUGAGAUAUGCCUACAGUAUGUCAUGAACGUUUCAGUUUUCUUAAACAAAUAGAAACAUCAUUAUAAAAUAUUAUUAAGCCACAAUGAAGUACCACUAUUUGAAAACAGGUCAAACCAUCCCUUGAUCUAAAUGCUAUAGCAACAGUAAAACGAGAACAAAUCUCACAGCAUGUCUUAGCAAGUAACUCUGGAAAUACAUUACUCCUAUUGAGCUCAGGAGAAAAGAAUCAGUGCUGAUAACAGUAAACUAUAUGCAAACAUGAUAAAAAUGACAGAAAAAGAGCUCCCCAGCAUUGUAAACAAUCAGAUUAAGAACCAAAGUGCAACUGAUGGACUAAAAUAAAUAAGAAAAACUACACAUAGCGUCAGUGUUGGAGGCAUCAUUGAUCUUUGUCGCCCCCUUGUGCUAAUCAACCGCAUGACACCCGUCCAUUUUGAGUUUCUCGAGUUUGUUCGCUCAUGAUCACCCACAAAAGCAGCCUUUUAUACGUUUCGUCAAAUUAAUUAGUUAUCUGUAGUGCUGGACCCUCCGUUGGCUGUGCUGGAUUUGCCUUUUGUCUUGGACGAGCGGAACGAAAAGCGUUUGAUUAGGCGACGGGAGAAGCUUCCAGACUUUUUACGGCUGGUGGAGGAGCAGGAGGCUGUGGAGGAGUCAUUGUCCAGGUUUGAGACGUCCUCAUGGGACUGACUGAAACUGGGGUCUUUCUCUUUGUGUUUCCUGCGGAAUAGUAGCUUGGUGCCACUGCGGAGGAAUCCCACUAGAACAGAACAUUCAUGCACUUAAAUGAAACCAUAAAAAUACAUUUUAUGAUGAAUACAUCAAAAAUACAUUCCAAAGAAGUUCA